rnacentral:rRNA from 1 species
GAUGAACGCUGGCGGCGUGCCUAAUACAUGCAAGUCGAGCGAACGGACGAGGAGCUUGCUUCUCUGAUGUUAGCGGCGGACGGGUGAGUAACACGUGGAUAACCUACCUAUAAGACUGGGAUAACUUCGGGAAACCGGAGCUAAUACCGGAUGAUAUUUUGAACCGCAUGGUUCAAAAGUGAAAGACGGUCUUGCUGUCACUUAUAGAUGGAUCCGCGCUGCAUUAGCUAGUUGGUAAGGUAACGGCUUACCAAGGCAACGAUGCAUAGCCGACCUGAGAGGGUGAUCGGCCACACUGGAACUGAGACACGGUCCAGACUCCUACGGGAGGCAGCAGUAGGGAAUCUUCCGCAAUGGGCGAAAGCCUGACGGAGCAACGCCGCGUGAGUGAUGAAGGUCUUCGGAUCGUAAAACUCUGUUAUUAGGGAAGAACAUAUGUGUAAGUAACUGUGCACAUCUUGACGGUACCUAAUCAGAAAGCCACGGCUAACUACGUGCCAGCAGCCGCGGUAAUACGUAGGUGGCAAGCGUUAUCCGGAAUUAUUGGGCGUAAAGCGCGCGUAGGCGGUUUUUUAAGUCUGAUGUGAAAGCCCACGGCUCAACCGUGGAGGGUCAUUGGAAACUGGAAAACUUGAGUGCAGAAGAGGAAAGUGGAAUUCCAUGUGUAGCGGUGAAAUGCGCAGAGAUAUGGAGGAACACCAGUGGCGAAGGCGACUUUCUGGUCUGUAACUGACGCUGAUGUGCGAAAGCGUGGGGAUCAAACAGGAUUAGAUACCCUGGUAGUCCACGCCGUAAACGAUGAGUGCUAAGUGUUAGGGGGUUUCCGCCCCUUAGUGCUGCAGCUAACGCAUUAAGCACUCCGCCUGGGGAGUACGACCGCAAGGUUGAAACUCAAAGGAAUUGACGGGGACCCGCACAAGCGGUGGAGCAUGUGGUUUAAUUCGAAGCAACGCGAAGAACCUUACCAAAUCUUGACAUCCUUUGACAACUCUAGAGAUAGAGCCUUCCCCUUCGGGGGGGACAAAGUGACAGGUGGUGCAUGGUUGUCGUCAGCUCGUGUCGUGAGAUGUUGGGUUAAGUCCCGCAACGAGCGCAACCCUUAAGCUUAGUUGCCAUCAUUAAGUUGGGCACUCUAAGUUGACUGCCGGUGACAAACCGGAGGAAGGUGGGGAUGACGUCAAAUCAUCAUGCCCCUUAUGAUUUGGGCUACACACGUGCUACAAUGGACAAUACAAAGGGCAGCGAAACCGCGAGGUCAAGCAAAUCCCAUAAAGUUGUUCUCAGUUCGGAUUGUAGUCUGCAACUCGACUACAUGAAGCUGGAAUCGCUAGUAAUCGUAGAUCAGCAUGCUACGGUGAAUACGUUCCCGGGUCU